rnacentral:rRNA from 1 species
UACGUAGGGGGCAAGCGUUGUCCGGAUUUAUUGGGCGUAAAGAGCGUGUAGGCGGCCUGAAAGGUCAGCUGUGAAAACUCGAGGCUCAACCUCGAGACGUCGGUUGAAACCAUCUGGCUAGAGUCCGGAAGAGGAGAGUGGAAUUCCCGGUGUAGCGGUGAAAUGCGCAGAUAUCAGGAAGAACACCCGUGGCGAAGGCGGCUCUCUGGUACGUGACUGACGCUGAGACGCGAAAGCGUGGGGAGCGAACAGG